AUCAGACCAUAAGUUAACUAAAGAAAUGUUGAAGAUUGUGGAUUCUCGUAGCUCAUGCACUACUUUCAUAAACCGGAGAAGGUAGGAUAGAUUCGACACACCUUGCUAUAUCCUAAAUGUUCAGUCCAAGGUUGGUUGCACCAAUACAUUACCAAGAUGCCGCAAUUGUUCUAGUUCCUACACUUCUUCCUUCAUGUCGUGCAUUUCUUCCUUCAUGGAAAAUAACUAAAUGUAAGCAAGAGUUCGUUUCAUAACAACAAGUGUAGCAAAUAUGAAUUUUCAUAAAAGAGCUAAUGAAAGAAAAUAUUUAUGAUCACUUGGGCAGUAACAUCAUUAAUUAAGCAAAGAGCUAAUGAAUGAAAAUAAUCCUAACCAAGAAAUCAAAUAAUAAACUGAACAAGACUAAAGAAAGGAAAAACAUUACCAGCUAGAAGCUUAAAACGAGAGAUAUAUCGUAUUAAUAUGCAAUCUCAAGAUAUAACAUGUAUAAGGUAAAUUAAGAAGCAACACUUAGAGAAUAAUCAGUUCCUAUAUAUUUACCCGGUGGAAAGAGGCGCCUCCACAUAUGUGAAGUAUAAGAACAAUCAAUAUAUGUGUGUUUGCCGUGUGGAAAGAGGCGCCUCCACAUAUGUGAAUAAUAAGAACAAUCAAUAUAUGUAUGUUUGCCAUGUGGAAAAAGGAGCAUCCACAUAUAUGAAUAAUAUGAACAAUCAAACAUUGGUAUCUAUCAUUACUCACUACGGUUGAUAUAGUAUUCAUAUAAGAACAAUAAAGAUAAUCCUUAACUACUAUAUAUAUGUAACGACCCGGCCAGUCGUUUGAUGAGUCACCGCUCUGUUUCCCCCAUUUCUUCUUCUUACUAUCUUGUUCAACUGCAUUAUGUGUUAUCUAGUUGGUUGGUUUGGGUUCGGAGAGGUUUUGGAAAGGAACGAGAUACUUAGUCUCUUUUGAGUAAGCUUAGGUUGGAAAAGUCAUUCGGAUAUCGAUUUAUAUGAAAAAGGGAUCGGAUGUGAAUUCCGAUGGUUUGGAUAGCUUUGUCAGGUGAUUUGGGACUUAGGAGUGUGAUCCAAAUGUAUUUUGGAUGUCCGGAGUAGAUUUAGACUUGAAUUGGCGAAAUUGGAAUUAUGACAUUUUCUGGUUGAUAGGUGCGAUUUUGAUAUAUGAGUCGAAAUGGAAUUCCGGAAGUUAGAGUAGGUCUGUUGUGUCAUUUGUGACAUGUGUGCAAAAUUUCAGGUCAUUCGGACGAGGUUUGAUAGACUUUUUGAUCGAAAGCGGAAUUUGGAAGUUUUGGAAUUUUUAGGUUUGAAUCCGAUGUUAAUUUGGUGUUUUGAUAUUGUUUUGAGCGUUCCGAAGGUUGGAACAAGUCUGAAUAAGGUUAUGGGAUAUGUUGGCAUGUUUGGUUGACGUCCCGAGGGCCUCGGGUGAGUUUCGGGCGGUUGAACGGAUCAAUUUAUGUUGGGAAAAAGUUGCAGAAAAUCAACUGUUGGUGUUGCAGACGUUUGGUCUUCACGUUCGCGAAGGGGUAGGAUGUGAGGCUGGAGGGUUGGCCUUCAUGUUCGCGAUAGGGGUCCCGCAUUUGCGGAGGGCUGGGGUCAGUGUGUAUCGCGUUCGGGAUGGUAUUGUCGCGUUUGCAUAGAGUUAAUGGGAGCAGCUGGGUCCAGGUCAUUUGUGUUUCGCGUUCGCGAGCUAGGUGUCACGUUCGUGAUGGAUUGAAAAGUUGGAGCUUCGGGUUCGCGUACAGGGCAUCGCGUUCGCGAUGAACGAGUAAGUGCUCAAGGGAAUUUUAUGCUUCGCGAACACGAGGCGUUGACUGUGUUCGCGAAGACGAGAUUUAAAUAGCUGUGCAGAAUGUUUAAAUGACCACUUCUGCGAUUUUGGGUCUACAUUUCACUAUAUUUGAGCGAUUCUGGAGCUUUUUGAGAAGGAUUGAAGAGGUAAUCAAAGGGAAACACUUGGAGGUAAGAUUUAUGAACUUAAUACUCGAUCCUAUUGUGAUUUCUACCUAAUUAAACAUGAAAAUUGUGGAAUCUAAAGCCUAAAAUUGGAGAGUUAGGGCUUGGAAUUUGAGACUUUGAUUUAAGGAUUUGAGGGGUCAUUUGUGGUUGGAUUUUUAUGUAUUUGAUAUGUAUGAACUCAUGAGAGUGUAAGGAUUCUAGUUUUAUGAUUUUUAUCGAAAUCAGAGACGUUGGCUCGGGGGUCGGGUUUGGUCAAUUUCGAGAUUUGUUUUAUGUAAAUUGGUUAUUUUCGAGUGGGCUUUGCUCCCUUAGCAUAGUUUGAUGGUAUAAAUCUAUUUUUGGAUAGAUUUGGAGCAUCCGAAGGCCGAUUCGAGGGGAAAAGGCUUCGUAGGCUAGAGUUUGGACCGGAUAGAGGUAUGUAAUGAUUGUAAAUGUUGUCCUGACAGUAUGAAACUCCGAAUUUUACAUCGUUGUGCUACUUUGAAGUGACACACAUGCUAGAUGACGAGUAUGGGGUCGUGCACCGUUGGAGAUUGUGACUUAGUCCAUCCUGUAUGACUGUUAAACCGCGUAUUUGAUUGAAUACUAUUUGUUAUCCUUGUGUUUUGGAAAGUAUUAUCGUAUUUUGGGUUGAUUGUCAUAUUUGAGUCUCGUGCCAACUGUUAUAGAUGUCACACCUCCUUUUUACACCUACACCCCCGGAAAAGGGUAUAAGGGGAGUUUUUCCAAUUAAAGGACAAUCGAAACGGGAUUUAUUUAUCAAAAGAUUCAGAUUCGCCACUUGGGAGAUUUAUGGUGUCCCAAGUCACCGGUUCAAAUCCCGAAUCGAGGAAAAGGUUGAUUCUGUUUAACAGUCCGCAAACCAGAAAUCCGGGUAAGGAAUUCUUUUAACCCGGGAGAAGGUGUUAGGCAUUUCCGAGUUCCGUGGUUCUAGCACGGUCGCUUAACUGUUAUAAUUGGCCUAUUUACUUGAUUUUAAUACAUGUUUAGCCUAUGGUGCAAUUUUAGCCUUAACUGCUUUAUUCAUUUUUAGAGAAAAUUGCGACGUUAUUAAAACACGUCUCAAACUACGUCAUAUAAAUGUACCCGUGGUCUUUGACAUAUUUUAACAUCGUUGAGAUUUGGAUUUGGGUCACAUAAAUGCGCACCCGAGUUUGAAUAUUACAAAUCACAACUAUGCCACGGGAACCGUACUCGUAGCCAUAAUAAUUUAUUUAAUUAACGCACCUAAAGCAAACUACAAGAGUUCAAGGCAUAAUAGAUCAUUCAUCGUUGAAGCCUUGGUCAUAUUCUAAUACUUAACUGAAGGUCCUACGUUAUUGCUUAAAAUUAAACAAACCUUCCAAAGCUUAUUCCACUGGCCCAACAUUAAUCCAAAGCCCAAUCUUAAAUGACUACCACAGUAACCCAAAUGCAACAAAAAUUCAAACCAAAUUUCGACAAUCAAAUCUCAGGGCCCAAUUAUGUGGGUAAUCUAACUUAAAAUACCGAAUCUCACUUGUUUCUGCUCAUAUAAUUCAAACAUUAAUAAUCAAGCAAUGUAACAGAAACAUAAUCACCAAUUCAUAUUAUCUAAAAAUCAAGCAUGAGAUGGAAGGAGAUAAGUGAAAUAGGACAGGAGUCCGACCUCAAACUAGGCAGAAACACUUUCAAAAACUUGAUUAAGCAUGAAAUACCAAACCAAGAAUUUAUAGUCAUUAUGCAGUCUAAUACCUUAUUGGUAAGACUGAAAGGCAAUUCUUUCAAAGGCUCCCUGUUGGUUCCGACGUAAGCAGCAACGGCUUCCUCACUGAAUGUAUUGCGACAGAAUUUAGCUCGUCAACUGCUCUACAAUCAGCGGCAAGAUAUCCGACUGCAAAAUUUCCAAUCUACGAAAUCUGUCCUAAGAAGCAGCAGCAAGUCCGGUCGGGAAUCACGAACUUAAACCUCGACCGGCAUCUCGCGCUCGUCAGCUCCAAACAAAUCUCGCCCACGAGCUUCGAAAUGGGCUUGAAUUAACGAAACUUCAGCAGCAAAAUGAGGCUUAAGAGUCGAAAAUUGUUUUCCAAUUAAUAGAACUUCAACAACUAUAGAAACAGAAAUUCAAACUUUCAAUUGAUGAAAUUUUUAGUGAUACAAGGACAGAAAUCAAGCGAAUAUUACAACCCAAAACUCGAGACAAACAAUCAGGCUCAAACAGGAUCAAUAACUGCACUGUGAACGACACCUCGAACUCGAUCGAACUCCCUAUUUUGAAACGAAAUUUCUCGCUCUGUCAUCGUUUGCUCUCUGUUCAUCUAGGUGUGCGUGUGUGUGGCUGCCGAUUUUAGAGGGGGCUGAAGGUUGUGCUGAAGACGAUGACGCCAGGGUGGGUGGUCGCUUUGUACUUUUGUUAAAAGAAAACCAGAUCAGAAACGGGUGGGGGGAGGCAAGGUUGAAGACGAUGACGCACAGGGGGGGUCUGUAUGGUGCUGCGUCUUCAACGUUCUCUCUUUCAGCUUUUGGGCGUUAGAAUUCUUUUGUUAGGUUUAAGAAGGGGCAGAACGGGGGUGGUUUGAAAAAGAUAUACGCGAGGGGGUGGGGGUCGUGAAGAAGACGACACAGGGGGGUGGGGUUC
rnacentral:lncRNA from 1 species